AGGUUCCACCAGUCACCUGCCCCCCGGUGUCGGAGCGGGACCCUGGAGGCGCUGUGAGGGGGGCUGCGGCGCGGGUCUGUGGUGACCGCUCUUCCCUGCCCUGCUGUGGUUUGCUGUCCCCUGGUCAGCACACACAACUGUGGCUCUACUCAGCUCCCUGAGCCCCUGCGUGAUGCCUCCCAGAGGAAAGGGACUUAAUCCAGCAAGCUUAAGCAUUGUCACUCCGAGAGAUGGCCCUGGGACUGAGAAGUGGAUGGCAGCUCAUGACAGCGGGAGAGGACUGCCUGACUCCCCAGGCAGAGGCUCUGGUGCCAGGUUAGCAGCAGGACCGACAGCAGACCCAGCAGCCAGGGAGGAAAAGACCUCAAACAUUGACCAUCCAGCUGGAAGGGAUGCCAGGGCUGUCUAGCAUGACACGCUGCCACUCCGGGGUGCCCAGGUAUGUCAGAGAAUGUGGGUCCCAAAGCUGCCCACCCCUUCUGGGGGUGCUCUCUACAGCCAUUUCCCUGGGUUUGCAGACUGCCCCUUUCUGGGGACCUCCAUUACUCACACUGGGGGGCUCACCCUAUGGUCCAAGAAUAUGCUCCAUGAUUCCGGCUGGGGCUUUAUGUGCACUGUGUACCACCCUGAGUAGGUGGGGCUUUCCUAAGUUGUCCCAAGGAGUCAUUGAUCCAAGAACUGAAGAGCCACGGACAUAUUGGGGAAACCUACAUCCCUUCCCUGGCGUGAACAGGCCCGACUUGGCCUCCACCCUUCCUGCCCACUCUGUCCAUCUCUCUGUCACUCGGCAGCCAGGCCACCCUUCCUUGGCCCAGUGCCCACAUGCUCAUUCCUUCCUCAGGGCCUUGUCCCAGGCUUUGCCCCCAGCUCCUGACACACCUGCCACCACACACAUGCCAAUGAGACCCUGCCUACCCAUCUUGUGAGACCGACUGGGUGGUGCCUCCUCCAGGGAGCCCUCCUAAUUCUGCUCUUAGAAGUCAUAGGACUUAAGGCCUCAGCACCAACUGCCAACUCUACCUUGGCCUGUUCCUCAACCAGUGAGGGCAUCUGCCAGGGGCUGCUAUGAGAGGUAGGGGACAGUGACAAAAGUCCCCUGGGAACAGAUGCCCGUGUGUCUCGCCCUGAAUUUCCAUCCUCUGGGGACAGAGCGCUACAUCUCUGCCCCUCUUGUGGCGUCCGUCUCUCAGAAGUUCCUUGACUAGGUCCUGUGCUAGCACAACCGGUUCCCUGUACUUGGAAAAGGAUAGAUUUUUCCAAAACUGAAUCUUUAAAAAAAAAAAGUUAACGGAGAUUUGGGCAGGCUUGUGGAGCAGGAAACGGCAUGUAGAGGCGGCUGGAUUCCCAGCAGAGAAGGAGGAGGAGGACGCCAAGCCAGGCUGCGACUCCAGCGCCAGCCAGGAGUACCUCCAAAUUCCCUCACACCCCACUUGCUCUUGGGAGCCCACGUGGCCACCUCCACAAGCCCUGCGCCCCAGGGGCCUUGAGGAACGGGACAGUGAAGGAACCUGCAGGCCAGGAAUAGCUUGAAGGGCCAGGAGUCCAUCCACAUCGGGAGACACUCGUGUGUCCUCCCUCCUCUGGCCUCCCCAUGAGUUCUUGAGCAACAGGAGGGUCAGAACAUCCGCCCUGGCCACAAUGCAGGCCAAGAGGAUGAAGGAGAGGCUGAGCUGACAUCCUUUGGCAACCGUAAAGCUCUCUGCCCACAAGGGAGGAUGAACAUCAUCGCUGUCAUCCUCUCCAGGGGCUCCCUGCCGAAGAGACCAGCCUAAGCCUUGCAGAGCCGCAUGGAGCAGAGUCAAAUGGCUCAAGGUCUGGGUGGAACUGAGGCCCAGGUCCAAGAAAGAUGGGAUGAGAUGGGUAGGGGGCAGGUCCAUGGCUCUGAACCCAAAGAUCUGAAUCCCCACCCUCCCCACCCCACCAACCCUCCUCAGGGUCCCUGUCACCCCAUCCAUUCAUUGGACAGUCAGAACCCCUUUGUGAGCUCAGAGGGGCAGAGACACUUAUCCUAUGGAUGAGGAAAUGGGCCCAGAGGGAGGCAGCUGACUUCCCACAACCAUGCAGUCCAUACUGUCCUACUACCUAGGGAGUCGCGCUCUCAACUCUCAGAAAACAAGCAAAGGGAGAGACAAAAGGGAAGAAAAGCUCCUUUAAAUUGAAAACAGCAGCCCUGAUCACUCCCUAGAAGGUUGUUGCCCUUUGAAUCAGAGAAAAAAGUGAGAGCUCAGCCUCUGCUUCCCCAUGGAGCAUUCCCGUCAGUGCAUAGGCUCAGCUCGGUUUCCUGAGUGGGCUCCAGUCCUCUGUUCUCCGGCCCCUCUGGGCACCUGCAGGCAGGCCCCCUCCUGGGCCUCCGUGUUCUGAGCUGUCACUGGAUGAACCUGAACUCUGCUCUGCCUGUUGCAGCGCAAGGGAUGGAGGCUCCCCAGAGACUGCCCUUGGGAGUCAGACAACCUCUAAUUCUGCCCCUGUUAGAGCUGGCCAGGGUCCCCUUCUCCUUUGCCAAGGGUUCUAGCCUCUCCUGGGGUACAGAGCAUCUGACAGGGCAGUGUGAGGUCCAGACUCCUCCCUUCCCUGGAGCAGCCUGAACGUGGCUCCUGCUCCAACUUCGAGCCCAGGUGCCAGUGAUGGCUGCCUGGUGCAGGCUCUGGGAGACAGGCUGCCCAUGACUGCUCCCCAGUGACUGAAGUCCAAUGGUAUCGGGCCACAUUCUUUUCCAGGCCGAGCCCCAGCUCUACUACCAACUCGUUGUGUGGCCCGGAGACAGCUGACUUUCUUCUCUGAGGCUCAUUUUCCAUCCAGGAGAUGAGAGGAAAUGACCUCUAAGGCCCCUGGGGUUUGACACUCUGAAUUUCUAUUUGCUCACUUAGCUGGGUCCUCCUCCCUGCUGGGGCACCCUCAGCCCGAGCGGGGCUGCUGUGGCUUCCUCUUUAGGGAGGCACCCACAGCAGUCUCAGAUAAUUCACUGCGGGGAAGGGGUCCCCUGCUCCCUGACCACCUCAAGCCUCAUGCGUGGCUUCAGGGCUCACAACCACUCAGGCCGUGGAACCCAGCUCUGUGGAGAAGGGGCCAGGAGGUGGGGCAGAAGGCCUCAAGGUCCCCGAAGGGAGGGAUGCACACUUUAGCCUCAUCUAUGGCCUGGGUAGGUGGAAGCCAAGCCAAGUAAACUCAGCCUCCGGGAAAAUCUUCAUUUACACAAUACUUGGCUGAAGUCACUUCACAAAAGAUUCACCAUAAAAACCCCCCUCCAACAGCUAGACCCUGAGCACCCAGGCUGUCUCCAAGACCAUGAGUCCUUGGUGACCUAAGGAGCAACAGAAUUUGCAUAUAGGUCCAAGUGACUCACUGUGGCAUUCAGCCGAGUCACUUCCCCUCUCUGGGUCAUUUUCCUAAUGUGCAUGCUGGGAGGCUGGCCCAGAGGAGCCGGGGGAAGGCAGGUGGCGGGCGGCUCCUGGCACUGAGGUCCUGUGGUUUCCCCUGGUUCCCCACUUGCCCCAGCAUCAUGUGGGGAGUUUUGCUCAUGUGUAAGGAAUGGGCCAGACACAUCCACUGGCAGCACGUGGGUCACUGGGACCAGAGCUCCCCACUGAGCCUAAUGCCAGACCCUGGCCACACUCAUCUGCCCACAGCCAGAGCACGGCUGGUCUCGGGCAGCCUGGGGAAACCCGGGGAGAACCAGGCCACCCUGAGCCCACAGGGAUCAGUCGGUUUGGCAUUACUGCUGGCCACAGACUGGCCCUGGGCAGACCCUGCUGAGCCCAGGGCCCCAGCCCCAGAUCCCCAUGCCGACAAUGCAGCCCAGGCCCCGACCCCAGGCUCACCCUGGCCCAGGGCACAGACCAAAGCCUGGGCACCGGCAGCCUCUGUACAGAUGUAACCCCAACCCUGCUCACCGGAGCGGGAUGCGGAUAGCGAUGUAGCGGUCAAUGGCAAUGGCCAGGAGGCUGAAGAUGGAGCUCUGUGUGAGGACCAGGACGAAGCAGGCAAUGAAGAGGCAGCCGUGGCAGGCAGCACAGAACCCAGUGCUGAUGGUGAUGGCAAACGGGAUGGCGAGCACGCCCACCGCGAAUGUCGGCCGCUGCCAGCGACACCACGAAGUAGUUGGUGACGUUCUGCAGGUUGCUGUUGAGCCACACGGCCCAGCACACCAGGACGUUGCCCAGGAUGGCCAGCACGGCAAUGGCCAGCUCCACCGUGAUGUACACCCAGGAGCCCAUGAUGGGCACGGCCACAGCCAGGGAGGCUCAGCACGGACGUGGGCUGGGCCAGCUCACGGUCCAUAGCUGCAGCCCGGCCGCCUGCCUGGCUCCCAGCCCGGCCCAGGCGGAGGGGCCCAGGCCCCUAAGCCCCCUCCUCACAGGAGCCAAGUGCAGCUUUGCUGGGGUGGUCUCCAAGGGUUUUUUCACAGAGGCCUCUGAGUCUCCCAAAACCAGGCCCGCUCCAGGGCCUCUGGCAGCAGCAGCAGCAUAGCUCAGCCCAGCUUCAGGGUUCCCGAGGCACCUGCAAAGGGACAGCAGUGAGAAGCUGAACCCCCCUGCACAGGGGAGGCCCUGCGGAAAGUGCCACCCCUCGCCCCCCAUCCACCCAGGCCCCUGAAGACCCUACAGCUUCAGAUCCCACCCCACCCACAGGCCAGGUGUCAGCCUGAGGAUGGCCCCCUGGAUGGUGGACACCCAAGGAUGGUCGGGGGCCAUCCUCAGGCUGACUCCUGGCCUGUGCCUGGUCUGCCCUGGUCAUAGCCAGGAGGCAGGAGAAGAAGGAUUUUGACCCUUCCUUUAGAGGAGGACCCCCGAGAAGUCACUGAGUUAGUCUGCUUUCCCUGGUUCAGAGUUCCCGCUACGACCCUCACACAAACCCCUCCCAAGGAGGCAGCCCCUUCUCCCAGGCUCUGCAGAACGAUAGAUGGCACCAUGGCCGGGCCCCUGCCAGGACUCCAGCUCACCCCAGUACCAUCCAUGGCUCCCUGCAUUCUCUGCUCUGGGUAUUGGGAUCACGGUGCCUCCCACUCUGGAUUUGGGGCGGAGGAUCAGCCGCAGUCUGAUUUUUCCCUGAGUCCUGGAGCCCGGCCAGCCCCAUGACUCUCCCUCCCAGAAUGGCCCCUCCCUGCCCAGGCUUUCCCGAUCCCACCGUCUCUCACCAGGUCAGCUUCUCAGCCCCUGGCCCGCUCCAUCCCACUAGAUCUCCCAUGAACUACCAGCACCCACCUAAGGCACACCAGCCUCCCUAUGAAAGGACAGGCCAGAAAUCCCCUGGAGCUCGGAUGUGGGGAGCCGCCUGGUCCUGUCUCCCACUGCUGCAGAGGGACAUGAGGGAUGGAGCAGGCCUGGCAACUGGGAAAGAAGGUCACUCCUGCUCCCAAGCCCUGUUCAAAGGGCCAGGCUCCCCUCUGCCCCACUGUCCAUGUGAUGGAGCUCAAACAGAUGGACCCCAACUGUCCCUAUAACUCCAAUACCAUCCGCACCUCAGGAGGCUGAAACAAGAUCAGCAGAGGCUGUAGCCAGAGCUGGGCCUGGAGGUUCUGCACCCAGUGGGCCCUUUUGCCCCCACGAGGAGGCUUGGAAUGGAGCCUCUGACACAGAAGUGAGAGGAGGGAGGAGAGUGCAGAGCCAGAGACCCUGCAGAAGCGGAGGUCUGCAGCAGCUGGAAAGGGCUGGGUCCUCCCAAAUCCCUGCUUUGCACGGUGCACUUGCCAGGCAGCCACUCACAAAGCGUGUCGCUGGCAGGGACAUGCCAGACCAAGUCUCCUGGCACCAUCCUUGGCCACACUCACGGAACACAGUUAUCCCUGAUGCUCCUGGCCUCUCCCCGAGCAGCCUUCAGGCCCCCCUGACUCACGACAGGCCCCUGCCCAACAGGUACAAGUGAAGCUGGUGCUGGACCUGGGCUGCCUCCUACCCCGGUGCCUGGCCUUUGGCCCCAAGGUGGCCUCCCAGACUUAGCACCACCAGCAGCAGCGACAGGCCACUGCCCAGUGAGGCCCAGUGAACCACUGAAGAGCCGCCACUACCCAGGCAUCCUGCCUCCCACCACUGCCCUCUCUAGGGCAUCUGCGCUGAAGGACACCACAGCCUUCUGCCAAUCUGACCAGCCCAGGCUAGAAGGCUGAUGCAGCUCUGGACCAUGCUCCUGCAGGCUCUCCCAGCUGCUGCCAGCACAUCCUGGGCUACUAAUGUGUCGUGGACCAGAACUGGGGAGCAACGCAGAGUCAGCUGGCCAUGGUGCCAGUUACCGCUGAGCUGUCAAACCAUACGCUGUUCCAGGGGCCACCUGCCUAGAGGCCAGCACUGCACUGGACCCUCGAACACAUCUUGUGCAGCCUGCUUAGGAGCUUGGGAAACGACUGUCAUCUGUGAUCUUGCUGGUCCCACAAAGCCCAUUUUACAGAUGAGGAAGCUGAGGCCCAACGGUGUGAAGCGACCUCUCCCGGCCUCACCAAGAGCACUGGAGGGUGAUGCAGGCCUGGGGCCGUGCCCACAGCAUGGCAGCAGGAGGGCUCCUGGGCCUCCACUCCCCUCCCUCAGAAGCCUCCCAGAGUGACCGGAAGGUCAGAGGCCCCAGGGAGGGGCCAGGAUCUGGCAAUUUCCUUUCCCUCUCUGUUGGUCCUGUACAUCUAAUUAAUCCUUGAGUCAUCUGUUGCUAACCAGGAGGGGAAAUUAAAUAUUAAUAAUGUAAUGCUGUGACUGCCCCUCGUUGGGGCAGAGGGCAAACACUGUCCCAUAUAAACAGGGGACUCAUGUUGCGGAAUGUGCAUAAUGCCUCUCGAAAGAACAACCCCGCCGGGCGCGGUGGCUCAAGCCUGUAAUCCCAGCACUUCGGGAGGCCG